UUUAAAAUUAGAUCUCAAAGCCACAAGUCGUAUUAAAAGGGAAUCUGGUGAAACUCCAGAACUGUUCCCGCAACUGUAAAGAAUCUGUGCUAGCGCACUGCCAUUGUAAAAUGGAUCUUAUGAAAAGCCACUGAGUCAUCGGGAAGGCCGUAAGAUAUUCAAGUCAGGAGACCUGCCAUAACAAUUUAUAUUGU
rnacentral:ncRNA from 2 species